ACCCCCAUCUGGGCUUCAACGCACCCCUUCCCCGUACUCCCCUCCCCCAGGGCUCCUUCCUCAGGCUCGAUCGCGCCUCCCCGCUGCCGCUCCUUCCAGCAGCCGUAUUGCUCUCGCUCCUCUUAACCACCCAGCUUCUGUUCAUUUCCACCCCUACCCCUGGCCCAAAUUGUCCUUCCUGAGCUGAAGCUUCCUUCUCCUCCAGGGUCUGCUCAUUCAUUCUACAAAUAUUUAUUGAGAGAUCUACUAUAUGCCAGCCUCUGUUCUAGAUGCUGAGGAUACAGCAGUGAACAGAACAGACAAAAUUCCCUGCCUUCUUCCAGCAUCCUAGUUGGAGUGACAGACAAUACACAACUAAAAGCUCCUCAAUGCAUCACAAGACUGCAAGUGACUCUGCUGGGCCACUGUGGGGAUCAGCAGAUGGGGACACGAACUCGGAGACAGAGCGUCGGAGGGCUUUUCACACGUGGAUGGAGGGCGAGGCCGAGACAAGAAGUGCUUCUUCGGAUGUAUGCGGUCCUUAGUAAGGCAAAGCAAACGUGCAGGCAUCUCACUGAAAAUGCAGAGAAGAGAGGUCCUCAGUUUCUGAUGAGCUCUGGGAGGUGGCUUUGUGCCAAUAGAGGGGAAAAAAAAACCCUAUAAAGAGAGAACACAGAACCAUAGACUUUCUACAGGUAAACACGGCCGCCUGCCGCCCCGGCCCUGGGCUCUCCUCCUUCCUUUGGGCUGUGGGAGGCUUCCCUUCCGUGUGGCAAUGACAGGCCUGGGCGCCCUGGGAGAAAUGCUGUCCUUCGGUGUGAUAAGAUACUUGGUGGCUCAUCGCUCUGUUAACCAUCAUUACAUCCCAUAAUAAUGCUGAUGGACCUGAUGCAAGAGGAGGCAAAGCUGGCAGGUAGGAGACACUCCUUUUCCUUUUAAGUCUAACGUGGAAUUUCAAGCUGCCUACAGAAACCUCCAUUCUUUUGAAGGAUUAAAAAAGAAAAAAACACCCCAAACCCAACAAAACUAUGUUCUUAAUGUAUGAGAUAUCUUUGUAGAUUAAUGAAAUAUUUGGGCCAAUGUUCUAUAUUCUUGUGGGAAAAGACUCUCAUGGUACGUUCACUGAUUUAAUUUUAAAAAUUGAAGAUUUUGUUUUAAUCGACGGUGACCAAACCUUUAAUUGCUAGUUGUAGAUGAAUAGAUUUAUCUAGAUAUAUUAAACGAGAAAACAUGUAAAAUGUUCACUGGGUAGAAAGGUGCUUAGUAAAUGUGUCCCACAGCUGUGUUUUCUUUCCACGAUGUUUUGCUGGUCCAAAUUUGAUGCUCAGUCACAAUUCCAGCAUGUCCGGGCUGUUUGCGUGGCUGUGAGCUUAGACUGACCACGGAGACACAUAAAACAACUUAAAGACUGUCUUUGCCAGAAGUGUCUGCAGCCAUCCAUUCUCAUCCCCAAGAAGUCUGAUUUCACUCUAUGACAACAGUCACUGGCUCCGGGACUAUGGGAAACCUCACCUGGUUUUCUCUCCCUUUAGGGUGGUCACCAAAAUCGUAAAAUUAUGUUUCAUUGCAGUGGUAAGGAAUUUAAUUUUUUUAAAACAACAUAAAAUAAGAUUUGCUCAUAAAAGAGAUGCCACUCACAUCAAGAAAUAUCACAAAUCACUAUAGUGGCAAAAUAAUUUAUUACUUCCCCUGAAAGGAAAGUAGAAAUUUGAUUCCUGCUCCUGGCGGGGGCAGCCUGGGAAGCUGGGUCCUCUACACCCUGAGCUUCCCGUGGUGCUGAUCUCCUCUUCUCAGCUCCAUUGGGCUCUAUUUGUACAUCCAGUGUGGCACUUAGCCUGUUUCUGCCUUAUUCCAUAGUUCUGUAUCUUUGCAGUUUAGAAACAGCUGAGGCAAGUAUUCAGGCAGAGAUAGGGCUGGAGGGUGCCCUGUGCCCGUGCGGGAUGACUGCAGCU